rnacentral:lncRNA from 1 species
UUUCUCUAGUUGCAUCUAGUUUUCCUCUGCCUGCUUUUUUAUGUUACCUAUUUCCUUUGCAACAAAACAGGAGGUGUCACUAAGAACCACAGCAACAAGAAGUGUUAUCUCUGAGCUUCUUCAGUUUGCUACUUGGAACUGAAGUCAGAGCUGCCCUGAGUGCUACCAAAAAGCCUGGCCAACUGGGGAGAAAGGGAAGGAGCAUUGUUAUGACUUCCAGCUUGUUCCAGAAGUGCUCAGCUGGCAUUUCUGAAAGCAGCCAAGGGAUUUCAGAGAUCCUUAGGGGGGAUGUUCCUGUACGUCAGCUCAUGAAGCACUUUCAGGAGCUUUAUUUUCAGAGGUGGCUGCUAUUCAGAAUGCAAAACUCUUAUGACCUCUCACUCAGGCUACCAGAGACUUUUCUUCCACUGUAUGGGUGCUGACUUCUGCUCCUUUUUGUCUGUUAAUAGACCCUUCAGCUUUAAUGUGAACCUGAAGUGUUCCCUUCCCUACCCAUGGGAGGGGCUGUUCUAUGAAAUAUCCAUCUGAUGUACCUUGCGGUUGAGCAGAUGUUAUCUUAGUCAAGGCAGAAUUUCAUUACCAAGUAAUUGGACAUUCUUCCUGGUUCCUCAUAAUUGUGGCAGGAGAAAAGAACAAAACCUGCUGAUUUGAUAUGAGUAAUUGCUUCAUUAAGUUAUUUGCUUCCUCACCAUAACCGUCAGCCCAAAGAAGAGAGCAGCAUGACUGCCAGACCACAUAUGACUGUACUGUGACACUGGGGCUUUGUGCUAUAUUGUCAGAUGGAAUCACAGGGAAAGGAGUUGGGAAAUACCCUGCUAAGUUAUAUACCUCUCAUCCCCGUGCAUUUCAGACUGCAGAGAAUCUAGCUGUGUCCUAAUGGAGUGAAUCAGUCCCUAGAAACAGCAGAAAGCUAAUGUGUGAGGCUUUAAAUCAGCACACUUGCCUUGCUUCCUGUGUCUGAGCACUGUGAAUUGAUGUUUAGGAGCUGAGCAUCUGUGUCCUCUUACUGUGGAGCAGGCAGAAAGAGAGCUGCAUUAAACCCUGGUGAAAGUGGCUCAGAACUGGAAUAUGGCAAUAUCUGAGCUGUGUUCCCCAGCAGUGGCUCACGUCCCAUCUGUUCUUUGCAUUUAUUCUCCCUAGGCCAAUUGAUGAACACUGUACCCUGUUCCACAGGACAGGUAGAUGGGCUUUGGUCACUUCUUCAGUUACAUGGAUUUAGCUGAAAUGCCAGACGUAGUUUUAACUAAGAGAUUCUCCAUCCGUGUGGACCUGAGCUCCUCUCAGGCACAUCUGGCUGCCCUAUCCUCAUUAUUCAUCACCCCAAACACAC